GAGUGGUAGUUCAGCUUGGUUAGAAUGCCUGCCUGUCACGCAGGAGGUCGCGGGUUCGAAUCCCGUCCACUCC
rnacentral:tRNA from 1 species